AUGCCACAUCAUCCUCAUCGACGUGCAUCAACUUUUUCACGCCGGAUCUUCGCUCAUAACGACAUGGAUGAUAAAGGCAACGAUGGCAAAAACUUGGGGAAUACAGGCAGGGAUGACAAGGACAUGGGUGAUAGACGAAAUGAAGGCAAAGGAAUGGAUGGUAUGCGCACGGAUGAUAACGAUAAUGAGGAUGCAGGCAAGGAUGGCAUAGACCUGGAUGAUGUACACAUGAAAGGUAAAGGAAUUGAUAUUAAAGGCAUGGCUGGUUCAGAUCUGAAUGAGUGUAUGGAAUACAUAGAGAUUGUGAAGAAGACUUUCAGGACUGAGGAAGAAGCCUACAUGUUCUACGUAGGCUAUGCGAGAGAAAAAGGGUUUGGUGUUAGAAAGGAUGAUCUGAAGUACAAGGGUCCGGGUCCGAAACAAAAUGCAUACAGAAGGACAUACAAGUGCUGCAAACAAGGAUGGCGGGCCCUUAAGCACUUUAACAGAGCUGAUAGAAAAAGAACACCGAGGGGUCUCUCUCGGUGUGGGUGUCCCGCUCUUUUUCAGGUUGAGCUACAAGAUAGUAGUGGCCUCUGGUUCGUCAAGAAUUUUGUGGACAAGCAUAACCAUCUGUUUGUCCCUGCUGACCUGACUCCCUACUUAUCGGCUCAUCGUAGAAUGACUGACGCACAAAAGAUCGAUGUCAUCGAGUAUGCUGUUGGUGGACUUCGAACAGAUCAGAUUAUGAAUGUAAAGCGUCAGAUUGUCGAAGGGACAAAUUGGCAGGUCACGGACCGGGUAGCAUGUGAUGGUUUGGUCAUGUUUGGAGUUUUGCACAAAGCCCCAUAUGAUAAAGUCCCAUAUGGCAGGGAUGCUACAGAAUUGCAAGGUAAGGAAGGUAAGGAUGAUGAGGACUUGCAUACAAAAAAAUUGGAUGCUGAGGAUCCCAAUGACUUGGAAGGUAAGGAUGCUGAGGACUUGCAUGCAAAAAACUUGGAUGCUGAGGAUCCCAAUGAGUUGGAAGGUAAGGAUGCUGAGGACUUGCAUGCAAAAAACUUGGAUGCUGAGGAUCCCAAUGACUUGGAAGGCAAGGAUGGUGUGGACUUGCAUGCCAAAAACCUGGAUGCUAAGGAUCCCAAUGACUUGGAAGGAGCAAGACUGGAUGAUGCAGCUUCUAAAUGUAAAAAGUUGGAAAGUCAGGAUUACCCAUGCGCACAUAUAUUCUGCGUUCUGGAUCAUCUUGGUGUAUGCACAUUUCCAAAAAAAAUUGUCAAGAAAAGAUGGACAAUGCAUGCCAAGCCAGGGUUCCCUUCUUCGAGGACUGCGAAUACUCAUGUAUGGAACAAAUCAGGGAAAUCAAAGGUCACGAGGAGGAAGAAGCAAAAAGAGAAAGACUCGGAGACAGAAGAAGACACAGAUUCAGAUACAGAAGAAGAGGAAGAUUCAAAAAAAGCAACGAAGAAAAAAUCGGGGAAAUCAAAUAGCACAAGGAGGAAGAAGCAAAAAGAAGAGACAGAGUCAGAUAAAGAAGAAGAGACAGAGGCAGAUACAGAAGAAGAGACAAAGGCAGAUACAGAAGAAGAGGAAGAUUCAGAUGCAGAAGAAGAGGGAGAUUCAGAUGCAGAAGAAGAGGGAAAUUCAGAUGCGGAAGAAGAGGAAGAUUCAGAUGCAGAAGAUGGUGGGCUGAGGAGGGCUAGGAAGAGACCAUUGGAGGUUGCAGAAAAGGAUUACGCAAAACCAAACAAGAAACGCAAGGCCGCUCCAAAUGUCAAUGCUGGGAGGAAGAAAAAGAAUGAUGACAAGGAGGUAGCCGUCGAGGUUAAUUUUCCAAUUUCCAGUGAGAAUACGGACAUGAUAGAAUCUCUCAAGCAAGAUGACAGCAUAGUGAAGGCUAUGAGAACGAGCAAGGAUGCUUCUUUGCCGCCAUAUGAGGAGUUCAUAAAGGGAUUAAACACGCAGCAAAGGAUAUACAUCCAGUUGAUAGGACUGGAUGGACUUCUCAAGACACCUAGCAUCAAAAUCAGACGUGUACUGUGCAUGGCCAUCGCUAAUUCAUAUGAUGCAGAGCAGGAUGCCUUUAUCAUCAACGGGAGACCAUGAUUGCUAGCCAAGAUGAAAGGCGACAGCACACCAAAUUUUGGCAGGCCAUUUGUCUUGUACACCAUAGGAAAAUAUGUAUGCCAAACAAAAGAGAAGUAUGUGGAUAACAAAUAUAUUGGGAUUGUUAGAAACAUUGAGAUGAUAAAGGGCACAAAUCUUGGACAGCUAAUGCUUGACUAUCUUAUGGAUAGCGUGAAGAAUUUUGUAAAUGGUGAGGCAAUUCUGGAGGGGAAUCUACCACUGCUGCAAAUAUGGUACUACGAGAAGUUCAGAGUGCACCAAUUGGACUCUAGCAUCUCGUAUGAAUCAAGGUUAAGGCCGCUGAUCCAGAACUGGAGCGAGGAGAAGGCAAAAAAGGUUGACAAUAUAAUCCAGAAUAAUUAUCUGGGAGUUGGAGAGUAUGUUGAGGACCUGAUGAGGCCUUUCAUUCCAGCACGAGAUGGUAUGCUGGCCAAACCGAAGACUGAUGCUCAGAUUAAGGUACUCGUCGGACGUGUAUUGACUGAUUUGCAAGAAGGUGCCUUCCUCGUGCGGGAGGUUGGUGCACAACAAGUUGAUAGGAUGUGCACCCUUGAAAAGAAAAUGGAUGAGUGCCUUAGGCGUACCCAUACAAAUGGCAAGCUCACAGAGGACCUCAUCAAAGAAUUGACCAAAAAACGCGACGGAAUAUUUCUAGGACUGGAGGACAUACAUCUUUCUGACCUCGGGGCACCUUCACACCCAAUGGAGGCCUCUGUUGAGAAUGUUGAGCAGGCUUCUGACCAGGGGAAACAAAAUGAUGUCACGGAGGUCGCUGCUAAGCACCAGUGUAAGCAGGGAAUAAAAAAUGAUGACAUGGAGCCCCCAAUGAAGAACCUUGAUGAAAAGUUUGACGUGGUUGGUGCUGCGAUCCAGCUCAUGCGUCAUGAUGACCCAAUUGACACAAGGGACGGCCAACUGGUUUACAUUGAGAGGAUGGCCGGCGUCGCUAAGCUCGAAAGAGAUGGUAGGAUAGAGGAGUGCUACGAGGACGCUUUGGCAGGCAUUCCUGGAACAACACAAGGCACCAGCUACCUGAAACAUGAUAUGGUUUUCCUACCUAUGAACAGCCAAAACGUCCACUGGUUACUUGUGGUCGUAAACCCCAGAAGGAAGGAGAUUCAGGUACGUGGGAUGGAAGCACAUCUGAGAGCAGCGAGGCGAAUCAAUGGGAUAGAAAGCAAUGCAUGGGAAGACAUUAACAUGACGCAAUGGCCAUUAUGGAACAUUAAUGUGCCAAAAUCCGAUGAAACUUCUUGUUGUGCACUGUACAUGCUGAAGAACAUCGAAUUAUUUACGGGACUAAAACUGAGUAAGAAAUAUGACAAAGCCUACAUCGAGAAAUUCAGAAAAGAGCUACCUGUUAUGCUAGUCGAUUCACCCUACAAUAAAAUGAAAUACAGGAAUAGGUUCAAGCAGUACCAUGCUAGGCUAUCGGAUGCAGCUGCGAUUGAAGACGACGAAGAUGCAAGCAGUUAG
rnacentral:rRNA from 1 species